rfam:Punica granatum cultivar Dabenzi scaffold148, whole genome shotgun sequence.
CGACCAGGUGAGGAAAAACUGCAACAAUCUGGUAGAACUUAGUUCCAUGAUUUCUUUGUAUUUAGGUGUCAGAUGACU